CAUGGUGUGCAUGUUUCUUAAAAAAACUUGUUCUAAUGACAUAGACGCAAAAAAAAAUGAAUUUACGGAUUGUCAACUUUAACCUGUAUAGUACCAGCGUAGAGCGCCAC
rnacentral:sRNA from 14 species